rnacentral:rRNA from 1 species
UGGCGACCGGCGUACGGGUGAGUAACGCGUAUCCAACCUGCCCUUUACUAUGGGACAGCCCGUCGAAAGGCGGAUUAAUACCGUAUGUUGUCAUGUUGAUGCAUAUUUUCAUGACCAAAGGCUUCGGCCGGUAAAGGAUGGGGAUGCGUCUGAUUAGCUUGCCGGCGGGGUAACGGCCCACCGGGGCGACGAUCAGUAGGGGUUCUGAGAGGAAGGUCCCCCACAUUGGAACUGAGACACGGCCCAAACUCCUACGGGAGGCAGCAG